rnacentral:rRNA from 1 species
AUUGAACGCUGGCGGCAGGCCUAACACAUGCAAGUCGAACGAGUGGCGGACGGGUGAGUAAUGUCUGGGCAACUGCCCGAUGGAGGGGGGUAACUACUGGAAACGGUAGCUAAUACCGCAUACAAUCGGAUGUGCCCAGAUGGGAUUAGCUAGUAGGUGUGGUAACGGCUCACCUAGGCGACGAUCCCUAGCUGGUCUGAGAGCAUGACAAGCAACACUGUAACUGAGCCCAGUUCCAUCCUCCAACGGUAGCAAGCAGGGGGGACUAUUGCACAAUGGGCGCAAGCCUGAGGCGGCCAUGCCGCGUGUAUUAAGAAGGCCUUCGGGUUUUAAAGUACUUUCAGCGAGGAGGCGUUACUCGCAGAAGAAGCACCGGCUAACUCCGUGCCAGCCGCCGCGGUAAUUC